rnacentral:lncRNA from 1 species
UCUCCAAUAGGAGUAUUUAUAGAUUACAAUGCCAGUAAUUACAGUAAUUACAAGAAAAAGGAACAUCUUGAUUACAUACUCAGUAAAGCCAAAGAAUCAAAAAUAAAAUUGCUAAAUAAAGAGAAACCAAAAAUAGAUGUGCAGGCUAAAUAUGAAUAUAUGUUGACUUACUAAACAUAGAGAGAAAAUAAAUAAGAGUAUAUGCCAAA